rnacentral:lncRNA from 1 species
UCCCUGUCGUGUCAUCCCCAUCACGUUGUCCCCGUCGCGUCGUCCUCCCCGUCACCCGGACGCCUGGGCCCGCCGGACUGACCUCCCCUCGGCGUCUCCCCCGGCGCAGGGUUGACGCCGGAGCUGCGGGCGCUGCUGGCGGCCAUGUUGGAGCCGGAGCCGGGCCGGAGGCCCUCGGUGGAGGCCUUGCUGCGCACGGCCGUGGUGCGGCGGGCGGGGCGGUGGCGGGCCCUCACCCGAUUGGCCGACGAGGGGCUGCGGCGGGCGGGGCAGCUGCUGGAGGUGAGCUCCCGCCCCACGGCGCCCCACAGCGCCCCGCCGCCCCACACCUCGGCCUCACCACCUAGCAUCAAAGCGUGGUGGCCCUCCAUAACCACAUACCCAUCAUGCCUCAUGCCGUUCCCCCCCCUUCCAGGACAUCCGGGCCCUGCUACGGUGGCUGUGGGGCGCGCUAUGGGGCCCGGCGCGCUGGCUGCGGGCCCCAGCCACCCCACCCUGCUCCCCACUGCCGCCCCACUUCAGCCCCUCCAGUGACUGGGACGAAGAUGAUGACGAUGACGGCAGCCCCAUGCGAUUGGUCCGCAGCGCCCCGGGGUGGCAGGGCGGGGCCCGGCCUGGCUCACCGCAGGAUAGCCCUACCUCCUUCUCCCGCCUGGGCCGCGUUGUGUCCCCAAGUGCCACCUCCACCCCCCACCAUGACACCACCCCACGGAGCAGCUCCAGGAGCAGGUGAGUGGCUGCCCCACACGUCCCCCGCUCUGCCCCACACGUGUGCCCCCCCCCCACAGCUGACAACCCUCACCCCACAGGUCCCCAGACAGCAGCCCCGGCGCCCUGGGCACCCUACGCCGCACCCUGACCUUCGAGGAGGAGCCCGAGUCCUGCCCCCAAUAAAGGGCGGGGCCGCCCCACGGCGCGGCCGCCCCACGGAGCAGCUGCCGGGCCCCGUCCCUGCUUUAUUGGCGUCGUCCCCGACCAGGAUCGGGGCCAGAGGGGGACGUGGGGUGGCCACUGGGACAGAGAUGGCGUCAGGC